GGUAGUAUGGCUGAUAAAAGCGGUAAUCUGUAAAAUUAUAAAUAGGAUAUUCCUUGCUGCCA
rnacentral:tRNA from 1 species